GCUAUUGUUGAUGACGGGUUUGCUACCGUGGGGCUGGGUGAUCCGGAUGCUGCUAUCGAUGUGUUAUCCCUAGCAUCAAGAGAUGGUUCUUCUAGAACAUCAGCCGGCGGUAGGUCUCAAUCUCCAUCUCCAGGCGAGCCUUGACGCCCAGCAGCCGCUGGUGGUCCGCAUUCUGGCGCUCCGCGUCAGCCCGCACCUGUUGGAGUUGCUCCUCCAGGCUGCCGAUCAGCUGCUGCACCUGAGACAGUUGGCAGCAGUACCCACCCUCGGUUUCAGCCAGCGAGCCUUCCAGGGACGACUUCUGCAAAUGGGAGAUAGACAGAAUUGUCUGGGGAUCAGAGAACAAGAUGGGCAGCCCAUGGUCCAGCAUACGGUGGGUGCAACAUCUUUUUUUUUGGAAGUUAAAGGAUGCAUCAUCUCUCUCUGCAUGUCACGCUACCAUGGCGAGCUGGGACUGGAGUUCAAUCUCUAGGUUCUGCACCAUGCGCUUCAGGUCGGUGACCUCGCUCUUGCUGGACUGAAGCUGCUCCGUGUUGCUGCUGAUCUCUUUUCGGAGCUCUCUGCUCUGCAACAGCAAACCAUGGCUUCAUACUGGGCUCUCAUUUCAUUGAGGACCUUGGUGAGAUCCACUCCAGGGGCCGCGUCCAUUUCUACAUUGACCUCACCUGGACCACCUGCCUGGAAACUUUGGAGUUCCUAGAGACAGCAAUGGAGAGAGAAAGACACAGGAGUACAUGUGGCUAGUGAGUCCCCCAGGUACGUUUGCCUUCUUGGGUCUCUUCAUGCAUGAUAAUAAUAAAAAAUAUAUUUUUGAGUGAGUUGGUAUAAAGGCAAAAUAUUAGCGCAAGGCAUCCACACAUUUUUCUUUAAGCUUGAAAACCUGUUUCUCUCAUAAUUAAAAAAAACUAAAACCAAAAACCAAGAUAUUUUCUCAGGUUUCUUGAGUGAUCAGGGGCUCCACGUUCUGUGCCUGUGGUUGCUGGCUCUGCUUCUAGAACAUCCACUUCCUAUAGUUUACAGAAAGGAAAGAGACCUGGUGUGCAGAUUGCUGCUACAGAGCUAGUGCCACAAGUGGCACCUGGGGUCAUACACUAUUUCACACCAUAGUCAUUGAGAACCCAACAGAAAGUUUCUUAGAAGCCCAUUGCCAGUGGUCGUUCUUCCUGUCCAUGCCCCGGCCUCUGAUACACACAUCAGAUCUCCAUAUGUCUUAUAUUGGUUACACUUCUCUAACAUAUGUGGCUGGUAUAUGUGUCAGCUGUAGACUUUUGUUUUCAUUUUUGAAACACUCCGUAUUUAAAGAAAACAUUUGACGAAGGUAAUUAAAAUUCCUGCCAUUACUUAAUGAUGGAAAUAGUAAAACCAGAAUAUUCCCCGCUAUCCCAAGUCUAAUACUCGAAUCCAUUAAGCCUUAAUAAAAAAUACCAUGACACAUACACAAGAGGGUGAGGUGGGGUGGGGGUGGGGGGCACACAUAGAGGAACACCAAAAUGAAUAGUCACUGUAACACAGAGAUAAUAUAUUCUCUAGCUUUGUUAAUUCAAAGUUUCAAUUUUUGGGUCUGGGAGGAAAAAAAAUAAAGCUAUUUCUGACCUCUUCGUGGUUCUUCUUCAUGUAAGCCAGCUCCUCAGUGAGGGUCUCAAGCUGGGCUUCCAGGUCGGCUCUAGUCAGGGUCAGCUCGUCCAGCACCCUUCGCAGCCCGUUGAUGUCGGCCUCCACGGUCUGGCGCAGGGCCAGCUCAUUCUCAUACCUGGAACCCAAGUGCCGACAGUUUAGGAAGUCAACAUUAACACAACCAUUGCGAUGGAUCCUGGACAUCUUCUGGGCUAUGUGGCCCAUGUCUGUAAUCCUAGUACUUGAGAAGUAGAGCCAUGAGUUCAAGGUCAUCCUCCACUAUAUAGUGAGUUCAAGGCAGCCCUAGGGAAGAGGAGGAGGAGGGGGAGGAAGAAGAAGGAGAAGGAGGAAGAAGAGAAGGAAGAAGAGGAGGAAGAGGGGAGGGAGAGAAGAAAACACUGCGCUAACAGUAUAUUAUGCCGAUUUUUUAUUUUGUGACUUUUCCUCUGUGUGUGAGUAUGAUUGCUUACUCCUCAUUUGGAGACAAGAGAAGAAAGAUGAAGAAAUGAUGAACCGAGAACUUCCUACCAGCAGUGAUCCUUGCAUCCCAGGAAGAAGGCUCCCUAACCAGAAAGAAGACCUCCAUCAUUGCCAGAAAAGAUACACAGAGAGCCACCGCCCGAGCUUCCAGCUAUCCCCAUCCCUAUCCCCAUUCCUCCCGCGCCACCUCUCAGAGGUCCCCCAUAGGCAGAGCCAAGCCCCGGCAAGCAACCUGCAGAGCCACCGCUAAAGCCAGAACUAGAACCAAACAUGGAAGCAGCAGAAAAGAGGCCUCCACAGCCAACUCCAAAGCCAGAGGCCGAUCCCCCAUAGCCGCCGGCAACACUAGAAGCAGAUGCACCCCAAGGUCUGCCUGCCGCCCCAUUCUGUGAGGAAGACCUCCUGGACAGCGCAGAGGUGCAGACUGAAAGCGACAUGCUGUUGCUGGAGAGGUGGUGACCCAAGAGAGACCGCAGUGCUGGUAUGCCAGAAGGGGUCCUGCCUUUAUAGGCUGGGAGGUGGGUGUUGCGGUUAAAGAGUUCACUCUCUGCGUUCCAACUCUCGCAUGCCCACCCACACCCAGUUGGCCAGCUCAGCAGGUAUGUGAUUUAUGCAUCGUGAAAAUUCACUGAUAUAGCUAUAAUCGAAUAACCAUUACCACUAGAUAUCUGACACACAAGAAAGAAGGCUGGGUGGAGCAGAUAGGCUGUCGUAAGGAAUCUGUCACCUUCAGUUGUCCUCAGCACUGCCUGUAUCUUCCAGACACCAGAAGAGUGACGACUGGAGCAUUAAGGAAUCCUUCCGAAGCCCCAUGCUUCCUGAAGCUCUGUCUUCCCCUCCCCUGUCUAUUUCUUUCGGUUCAGUAUAAGCCAACCAACCAUGCUGUGGUUCUCUCUGUAGGGACAGUUUCAGAGGCAGAUGAAGAGCGCAUUCCUGGAAGGUGAGAAACAGAGGUGUUUUCCAAGAGGACAUUAGAAUCUGAGCUUGCAAGGCUCUGAGAGCAUCUGCUGUAAGGAGUUGUGUGGUUCUUGCUUUUCUGAAAAUGGAACACUUAAACAUGGGAGCCAGCUGUUUGGAAGUCGAACAUUUAUAGUUAACAAAAGAUUGGCAUUCUCAGUGAACCAUGACGCUGGGCUCUGGGCUGAAUGCUUAUUGCUAUUUCUUCAAUGGCAUUACCUGUGAGAAUUUUGUAGUAAAUCUGUUGGCUGAAUGGAUAGUAUAUCACCUACAGUGUUCCACCAUUAACAAAAUACAUACACACACACAUACACACACGCAAACACUGUCCAAAAUAAGAAAUGAUUAAAACUCCAUGCUUC
ensembl:antisense A830036E02Rik RIKEN cDNA A830036E02 gene